rnacentral:rRNA from 1 species
AAUGAACGUUGGCGGCGUGGAUUAGGCAUGCAAGUCGAGGGAGAACCCGCAAGGGGGAAACCGGCGAACGGGGUAGGAUCACGUCGGUACGUACCCUCGGGACGGGGAUAGCCACGGGAAACUGUGGGUAAUACCCGAUGAUCUGGCGAAAGCCAGCAAAGGUGAGAUUCCGCCCGGGGAGCGGCUGACGCGCUACUAGCUUGUUGGUGAGGUAACGGCUCACCAAGGCGACGAUGGCUAGGGGGUGUGAGAGCAUGGCCCCCACCACUGGGACUGAGAUACUGCCCAGACACCUACGGGUGGCUGCAGUCGAGAAUCUUCGGCAAUGGGCGCAAGCCUGACCGAGCGACGCCGCGUGCGGGAUGAAGGUCUUCGGAUUGUAAACCGCUGUCGGGAGGGAUGAAGUGCAUGGGGGUUCUCCCCCGUGUUUGACAGAGCUCCGGAGGAAGCACGGGCUAAGUUCGUGCCAGCCGCCGCAGUAACAC